GUCUUCUAAUAAGAUAGUGUUUGUGAUGGUAUUUACAAGAAGGUUAAUAUAAAGAGGAAGUACCGCAAAGAAAAAAUUAAAAUAUCGGAAAAAGAGAGCUCAUUCGAGAAGACUUUCAGAUUACUCUGCGCAGUUUUUCACGUUUCUAUUUGAGUUGAAGUGUAAUGUUUUAUAUCCAAUUAGGACUUUUUCAUGACUAGUUACAUAAAAUGGCAAUAUGGUCUCAUUAUGAUAAAAACCAUUAUCAUGGCAUUGAUAACCAUGAAGAGUUUAAAAUGGUUAAAACAAAAUCAUUCAGGAUAAUGAGGCCUUAAAUUCUAUAUGAAAAUCGUAGAUUACAGUUUGAGUAGAGAAUUUUCAUUUGUAGUUUACAAUUAGGCGUAGCAAAGUUACAAGUUCCCACGUAUCGAUCGCAUGAUGUUCGAUAUUCAUUCCCACAAACAAGGGCUUGUCAUACGUGGUACUUGGUAAAAAACAACUUAUAGGACAACGAUAUAAAAGUACACGAAAGAAAACGUAUAAUGGUGUGUUCGGGAAAUCUGAAUGCAGCACACAAUGCCACGCGCGCGCUUGACUAUACAGGAAGAGUGCAACGACGAAAUGUUAACAAUUUAUCCUGCAACAAAAAUCUACUUCGAAAGUGAUUGAAAAAUCUAGGAAUCAUGUCAGAGACACAACCUCCGAAUAUUCGAAGGACUGCUUUCGAGUUAUAUGAAAAUUUUUAUACAAGUCAAGUUCCUGCAGCUGAUAUCUAUGACAGGACUGUUUGAAGCUUUGGAGAUUUAAAAAGGACUGUUUAUUAUAUUAAUGCCACUCCAAUGACUUUCGAGGGAGACACCAGCGAGCUAGCAGAUGAAACAAUUAUUGACCGAUUAUGUAAACAUCACUGUUUUUCAGUACCUUUCCAAAUGAACAGGAAACAAAUGAAUUAAUUGAACAUAUUUCCAUUUGAACUUACUUUCAUAAUUAACUGGUAAUAGUAGAUUUAACAGUAAAGAUCGUAAUUGAAGUAAUAAAAUAGAAGGUUAUUCGUACAUAGAAGAUGAACUUUGUCCUCGUCAAGUAGUUAAUUAUUGGUCAAAUGUUUUAUUAACUAUAAUAAAACGAUACACUUGCAUAUAUUGCAAUUAGAAUUAAGCGUUAAUAGUAUAUUAAAAUAUAUGCUCUGUUUUAAGAGCAUUACAUUAUAAAAUAACUAUGAUACAUCGUUAACUUAUUUGAUAAUGUACGAUAAUGUAAUAAAGCGAGUUUUAAUAUAU